rnacentral:lncRNA from 12 species
GGGGGGGGGGGGGGGGGGGGGGGGGGGGGGGGGGGGGGGGGGGGGGGGGGGGGGGGGGGGGGGGGGGGGGGGGGGGGCCGCCAGACACCCCUUCCCCCCCGCCUCCUUCCCUUCCUUCCGCCCGCGCCGCCGCCUCGGUCACCGCCCCGGCGCCGGAACCGCCGCUUGCGUCAUCACCCUCAGCCUUCAGCCCGCUCCGCCUCGGGAACUGUGAACCCCAGAUUGUGUUGUCUCAACACACACAGCAAAGGGACUGGCUCACUGGACCACCUUGGCUCACAGCAUGGAAGAUCCAUCUGAAAGGGGAGAUAAAUUAAAGUUAGACCACCACAACUUGUUUUAAACAGAAAUAAUAGAAUUGGAGCUGUUCAGCAAGUGCGCAAUGCCUGCUGUGCAAGGCAAAGGGAGAAAGAAGGAAAAGAACACAAAUGUUUGCACGUUUAGAAAAGUGCAGUUUUCUGUGAUACACAUUUUUAGCCUUGUCUCAACCAUUCAGUUUUAACCCCAGUAAAUUGCAGAUGGAAAAUAAUGACUUAAAAUGUAUUUUAUGUAGCCAUAGCAUUUGGUUUAAAUUACAUUUUUAACUAUCUCCAUUUCUUCAUUACAGCAGGUAAUAUAUCAAUAAAUAAUAAAGAAAAUGAAGACAAUCCAGACAGAUGGAGAAUUAAAGAGGAGCAGCACUAGCCCAGGAGAAGUGCACAGAGUUACAGAAGAAGGUAAAUUUACAUUACUGUUAACACUCAAACCUUUCUAGUCUGAAAGCCCCUUUGGGAUCAACUUCUGCCUGUUUGGUGCACUAAGUCUGGUGAUUUUGCCCUUGGCUGUCCUUAAUUAGAAAUACCCCUUUAUAUCCUGCUCAAGUGUCUUGCAAAUCAUAUGCAUUCCAUCUCAGAUACUGAUGUUGCAAGUUCUUUUAGUUGCCAUUAAAACAUCAUGCCAGCAUGCCAUCAUGCCAGGGAGAACUGUGAAAGGAAAAACAAGUCCAGAAAGAAAAACCUUUUAACAAUUUAUUCAAUGAAGAAAUCCCCAUGUGCUCUGUUAAAAAACAAAACAUUUGUUCUACUAUAUAUUUAAUACUUUGGGAGUCCAAUGAAGAAAUGGCUUAAGCACUUGAAAUCCUAAAAUGCAUUAGUACUCUGUGAGCCUUACAUUUUAACAUGUGUAAAUGAUUCUGAAGAUGUGUUUCAGGCUCCUAAUUUGCUUGAUAAGCUUUCAAAAUUAUUAUCCUUUGUGAGUAUAAAACUGAAAAAUAUCAUGGCAAAUAGAGGCAAAGGGCACCUGGACAAAAUUCUGGAUUCAUCCUCAUUCUCUUCAAGUGUGGUCAAAGGGAAAAUAAAACAAUAAUUUUUAAUUCCAAUGUUACGUUGUUCUGGAUUGAAUUUUAUGACCAGCUUGAGUGUGAAGUUUUCUUCUUGUGUGUGGACAGGUAGAAUAACCUAAUAUAAAAUAAAUCCUAAGAUAAAGUGAAUUUUUUUGUGCAUUUCAUGUAUAAGGGAUAUGUAAACAUAUCCAUGUAAUGGAUAUGUAAACCAAAGCCACAUCACCUAUAUUUGAAUAUCAAAAUUUACAUGUCAAAGUAAUAUUUUGCUGGGUUUGGGUUUGGUUUUGGUUUUUUUUUUUGAGGGGGGGUGGGUUGGUUUUUUAAAAAAUGUUUAUUGCUGACAUUUAAGGCAGCAUCAACUGUGGGCUGCACAGGAGUCAGCUAGAAGGUUAAACAUUUCUUACACUUUGUGUUUU